AUGGAGGAUGUUCUCAAUAGUUACAAUGCUAACCCACAGGCGCAAAGGUUACUGGAGCAGUUGGCAAUCCGUCCGGAUCCCAAAGGGCGUUUCACGCUAGAGCAGGGUAUGCUUCGAUUUCGAGGGAGGAUAUGGCUCGGAGGCGCGACAGAAAUGCAACAACAGAUCAUUGCUGCGUUUCACGACACUCCGCUCGGUGGGCACUCCGGGUUUCCAGUCACUUGGCGUCGAGUGCACCGCUUAUUUGCAUGGCCCAAGAUGAAGACUCACAUCCAGCAUUACGUCCAAUACUGCCCGACGUGUCAACAAGCAAAACCUGAUCGUGCUGCUUAUCCAGGACUGCUCGAACCUCUGCUGGUGCCUAAGGAAUCAUUGGAAAUGAUAAGCAUGGAUUUUAUCGAUGGUAUGCCUCUUUCUGGCGGGGUUAACUGCAUUCUGGUCAUAGUGGACAAACUGACUAAGUUUGCCCACUUCCUUCCGCUGGCUCACCCGUACACAACCUCAAAGGUCGCUCUCCUGUACAUGAAUCAGAUCUACCGGCUGCAUGGAUUCCCAGGGUCCAUUGUGUCCGACCGUGACCCGGUGUUCACAAGUCAUUUCUGGCAGGAGUUGUUUAAGUACGCUGGCACUAGGCUGCACAUGAGUUCUGCCAAUCACCCGCAAACGGAUGGGCAGACGGAGAGAGUUAACCAGUGUCUUGAAACCUAUUUACGGUGUUUCGCUCAAGCAUGCCCUCGUCGCUGGAGUUUCUGGAUUCCUCUGGCUCAGUUUUGGUACAACUCGUCUCACCACUCUUCCAUUGGUAUGUCACCUUUCCGAGCCAUGUACGGCCAUGAACCACGACAAUGGGGGAUAACAGCAACAAGCGCAUGUUCAGUCCCAGCACUGAGGUCUUGGCUAGAUGAAAGAGCGGUAGUGCAGGACCUACUCCAGCAACACCUGAAUCGUGCUCGACAGUGCAUGAAGCAGCAAGCUGAUAAGAAGCGAUCAUUCAGGGUCUUUGAGGUUGGUGAUUCUGUCUACCUGAAGUUGCAGCCAUACAUUCAGACCUCGGUGGCUCGACGGGCCUGCCACAAGCUAUCUUUCCGGUUCUUUGGUCCUUUCAAGAUCAUUGCUCGUGUCAACAAUGUUGCUUACAAGCUACAACUCCCAGAGCAAGCGCAAAUCCACCCGGUCUUCCAUGUCUCGCAGCUCCGGAAAGCACUCAUCCCAGGUACUACGACAUCCACGACGCUGGCGCCAGCGCAGGGGGGCUAUGGUGGAACAGAUAUUAGUCCGCUGGUCCAAUCCAGCGGCUGUCGCAGAUUCAUGGGAGGAUCAUGCAGAGUUACAAGCUCG
rnacentral:rRNA from 1 species